AGCGAACGCUGGCGGCGUGCUUAACACAUGCAAGUCGAGUGCGCGGUUCGUAGCAAUACGAACUGGCGCACGGCGCACGGGUGAGGAACACGUGGGCAACAUGCCCUCCGAUGGGGAAUAACCCGCCGAAAGGCGGGCUAAUACCGCAUACGAUUCCGGGGACCUCGGUUCCCGGACUGAAAGCCCGCAAGGGCGUCGGUGGAGUGGCCCGCGGCCGAUUAGCUUGUUGGCGGGGUAACGGCCCACCAAGGCAAUGAUCGGUAGCCGGUCUGAGAGGAUGAUCGGCCACACUGGAACUGAGACACGGUCCAGACUCCUACGGGAGGCAGCAGUGGGGAAUCUUGCGCAAUGGGCGAAAGCCUGACGCAGCGACGCCGCGUGGGGAUGAAGCCUUUCGGGGCGUAAACCCCUUCGUACCCGGACGAAAUGCCCGCAGGGAAUUGACGGUACGGGUAUAAGAAGCCCCGGCUAACUACGUGCCAGCCGCCGCGGUAAC
rnacentral:rRNA from 1 species